UACACUCCUGCGGGAGGCAGCAGUGGGGAAUAUUGCACAAUGGGCGCAAGCCUGAUGCAGCCAUGCCGCGUGUAUGAAGAAGGCCUUCGGGUUGUAAAGUACUUUCAGCGGGGAGGAAGGCGAUAAGGUUAAUAACCUUGUCGAUUGACGUUACCCGCAGAAGAAGCACCGGCUAACUCCGUGCCAGCAGCCGCGGUAAUACGGAGGGUGCAAGCGUUAAUCGGAAUUACUGGGCGUAAAGCGCACGCAGGCGGUCUGUCAAGUCGGAUGUGAAAUCCCCGGGCUCAACCUGGGAACUGCAUUCGAAACUGGCAGGCUAGAGUCUUGUAGAGGGGGGUAGAAUUCCAGGUGUAGCGGUGAAAUGCGUAGAGAUCUGGAGGAAUACCGGUGGCGAAGGCGGCCCCCUGGACAAAGACUGACGCUCAGGUGCGAAAGCGUGGGGAGCAAACAGGAUUAGAAACCCCGGUAGUCC
rnacentral:rRNA from 1 species